GGUGAAAUGGCUGAGAAUAAGCGAUAAAUUGUAAGUUUAUUAACGAAUGUUGAAUUCUUUUACCA
rnacentral:tRNA from 1 species